rnacentral:rRNA from 1 species
GACAGAGGGUGCAAACGUUGUUCGGAAUUACUGGGCGUAAAGCGCGUGUAGGCGGCCCGGCAAGUCGGAUGUGAAAGCCCUGGGCUUAACCUAGGAAGUGCAUUCGAAACUCCCGUGGCUUGAGUUUUGGAGAGGGAAGCGGAAUUCUCGGUGUAGAGGUGAAAUGCGUAGAGAUCAUGAGGAAGACCAGUGGCGAAGGCGGGUCUCUGGACAGUUCCUGACACUGAGGCACGAAGGCCAGGGGAGCAAGCGGG